UGCAAGUCGACGAGAAGCCGAAUUUCGGUUUGGCGAGUAAAGUGGCGCACGGGUGAGUAACGCGUAGGCAACCUGCCCUUGUGUUGGGGAUAACAGAGCGAAAGUUCUGCUAAUACCGGAUACGAUGCGAUUUCGAGAGGGGUCGCAUGAAAGUCAGCCGCUCGAAGAAGCUGGCGCACGAGGAGGGGCUUGCGUCCUAUCAGCUAGUUGGUGGGGUAACGGCCUACCAAGGCGACGACGGGUAGCUGGUCUGAGAGGAUGAUCAGCCACACUGGCACUGGAACACGGGCCAGACUCCUACGGGAGGCAGCAGUGAGGAAUUUUGCGCAAUGGGAGCAAUCCUGACGCAGCAACGCCGCGUGGGUGAUGAAGGCCUUCGGGUCGUAAAGCCCUGUCAGGUGGGAAGAAAGCCGCGUAGAUGAAUAAGCUAUGAGGUUGACGGUACCACCAGAGGAAGCACCGGCUAACUCCGUGCCAGCAGCCGCGGUAAUACGGAGGGUGCAAGCGUUAUUCGGAAUUACUGGGCGUAAAGCGCGUGUAGGCGGGAGUACAAGUCUGAUGUGAAAGCCCCGGGCUCAACCUGGGAAGUGCAUUGGAAACUGUAUUUCUUGAGUGCUGGAGAGGAAGGGGGAAUUCCCGGUGUAGAGGUGAAAUUCGUAGAGAUCGGGAGGAAUACCAGUGGCGAAAGCGCCUCUUCUGGACGGCAACUGACGCUGAGACGCGAAAGCGUGGGGAGCAAACAGGAUUAGAUACCCUGGUAGUCCACGCUGUAAACGAUGAUCACUAGGUGUAGCGGGUACUCAUUCCUGCUGUGCCGAAGCUAACGCGUUUAAGUGAUCCGCCUGGGGAUUACGGUCGCAAGACUAAAACUCAAA
rnacentral:rRNA from 1 species